GGAGGAAUGCCCGAGUGGUUAAAGGGGACGGACUGUAAAUCCGUUGGCUUAGCCUACGUUGGUUCAAAUCCAACUUCCUCCACCA
rnacentral:tRNA from 3 species